rnacentral:lncRNA from 7 species
CGGGCGUAGACCCCUCUUCCGACCAGGUGCUCGUCUCUCUGGAGCCGGAUCCCACCUAUCAUCUCGCUGCGCCGUCAGCUGCGGUAAUGGCCGAACGGCCCGCGCGAUCCCGCCACGGUCGCUGUGGUAGUUGCGUCAACAGGCGAAACCCGAGGAUAAAUCCCCGCAUCACCUCCUCGACCGCGAGCCCUGAAGCCCUACACUCUCACCAGACCUGUCGUCCCUCUCCAUCAUCGCGAAAACCACGCAUCAAAGAGACACCGUCGUCCGCCGCCGUGGGCUCGUGCCUAUACCGACGAUUGGAGGCCAGUGUGGAGUCAGGAUCGUUCAUCGGCAUGUGUGGAUCGCUAGCAUGAAGUAUUGAGCUCGGAGGCCCGUCCAAGCGCCCUAGAUUUCUCGCCGUUGUCGGAUUCCGCCGCGCGCCACGAAUGCCCCUGCUCGGCCCUUAAUCCCCGGUAAGCACCUUCCCAGUGACCUUACCGUUCCUACCACCUGUAAUUACCUUCGAAUAGGAACUUUAGCGCGCGAAUCACGUUUGGGCUGCUCGUCGGCGAUGGCGCUGCCACGGUCCUCGGUGU